UCUGAAUCUGCGUACGGCUCCGCACACCAGUUGUAAACCAAAGCAAGCAAGCCCGGUCUCGACGCCUUUCGGGGCUAGGGGCCGGGCUACAAGGAUAACCCUGGUAAUUCUGAGGCUAAUACUUGACACGAACCUGCUGACUGGGUCUCGGCUCGGGAGGUGGGGGAUGUGCGACUAUCGGGCCAACGAAACCGGAAAGAGCGCACGUUCAGACCACUUAAAAAGGCUUCGGGGUUCUUCGGGAUCCCGGGGCUGUGGCUCUUGCAGCGUGCUUCUGACCUAUCAACUAGACGGCAGCCUAAGGGACAUGCUUUGGUG
rnacentral:rRNA from 1 species